rnacentral:lncRNA from 1 species
GGGAUUCAGUGUGUUCGUAUUGUGCAGAGAGUGUGUGUGUGAGUGAAAGAUUGAGUGAAUUUCUUGCAGAGUGUGUGUGAAUUGGUAUUUUUGCUACAUCACGUAUGAGACAUUAGAUUAAUUUUACAAUUCCAUUCCUCUUAGGCCUUAGCUCUUGCACAAGCUUGCUCCAAGGAGUGACAGAUAAGUACAAUAGAAAAUCACGAAUCUUUGUUGAGUUACUUUAUUCCAGUUCAGUGCUUAACAGAUUGAACAAUUAUAUGCAAUAUUGAAAUUAAUAAUUAAAAUCAAUAUUAAUGGCCUAGAAAAAUGAACUCUCACAUGGUUGUACAAGGUUUUUUUAAUGAGCUUAAAUAAAGAUCCUUAAUCUGCCCUCGCGUGCUUCUGAAAAGGCAAUGUGUAUUUGACUACUUGUGAUGAUUUUAUAUCUUCUGCGGCAGAUAAAAACAAACUUUCUCACAUUCUACACCUACUUGUGAUGCUUUUAUAUCUUCUGCGGCAGAUAAAAACAAACUUUCUCACAUUCUACACCUACCCCUCUCUCCGGCCUGGCCCCAAAAUUCCAAUAGAAAAUUCUCAGGAAAACAACUUGGUGGUGUUAGGUGAGUGUUUGGAGCGGGAGGGGGUAUAGAAGCACCCGUGCAUUUCCAUAGUAUUAUUAUUACUUUCUUCGUUCUUCCCACUCGAGAAACCCUCAAACAGGAUCUAGCUAUAGAGACAUGGCUUAUGCUGUUAUAACUUCCAUUAUGACAACUAUAGAGCAAGUCUUGCAAUUCAAUCCAAGUUUGAUUUCUGAAUGUAGAGGAUCC